rnacentral:rRNA from 1 species
UACGAAGGGGGCUAGCGUUGCUCGGAAUCACUGGGCGUAAAGCGCACGUAGGCGGCUUUUUAAGUCAGAGGUGAAAUCCUGGAGCUCAACUCCAGAACUGCCUUUGAUACUGAGAGGCUUGAGUCCGGGAGAGGUGAGUGGAACUGCGAGUGUAGAGGUGAAAUUCGUAGAUAUUCGCAAGAACACCAGUGGCGAAGGCGGCUCACUGGCCCGGUACUGACGCUGAGGUGCGAAAAGCGUGGGGAGCAAACAGGG